UUGAAGAGUUUGAUCAUGGCUCAGAUUGAACGCUGGCGGCAGGCCUAACACAUGCAAGUCGAGCGGUAGCACAGAGAGCUUGCUCUCGGGUGACGAGCGGCGGACGGGUGAGUAAUGUCUGGGAAACUGCCUGAUGGAGGGGGAUAACUACUGGAAACGGUAGCUAAUACCGCAUAAUGUCGCAAGACCAAAGUGGGGGACCUUCGGGCCUCAUGCCAUCAGAUGUGCCCAGAUGGGAUUAGCUUGUAGGUGGGGUAACGGCUCACCUAGGCGACGAUCCUAGCUGGUCUGAGAGGAUGACCAGCCACACUGGAACUGAGACACGGUCCAGACUCCUACGGGAGGCAGCAGUGGGGAAUAUUGCACAAUGGGCGCAAGCCUGAUGCAGCCAUGCCGCGUGUGUGAAGAAGGCCUUCGGGUUGUAAAGCACUUUCAGCGGGGAGGAAGGCGGUGAGGUUAAUAACCUCAUCGAUUGACGUUACCCGCAGAAGAAGCACCGGCUAACUCCGUGCCAGCAGCCGCGGUAAUACGGAGGGUGCAAGCGUUAAUCGGAAUUACUGGGCGUAAAGCGCACGCAGGCGGUCUGUCAAGUCGGAUGUGAAAUCCCCGGGCUCAACCUGGGAACUGCAUUCGAAACUGGCAGGCUAGAGUCUUGUAGAGGGGGGUAGAAUUCCAGGUGUAGCGGUGAAAUGCGUAGAGAUCUGGAGGAAUACCGGUGGCGAAGGCGGCCCCCUGGACAAAGACUGACGCUCAGGUGCGAAAGCGUGGGGAGCAAACAGGAUUAGAUACCCUGGUAGUCCACGCCGUAAACGAUGUCGAUUUGGAGGUUGUGCCCUUGAGGCGUGGCUUCCGGAGCUAACGCGUUAAAUCGACCGCCUGGGGAGUACGGCCGCAAGGUUAAAACUCAAAUGAAUUGACGGGGGCCCGCACAAGCGGUGGAGCAUGUGGUUUAAUUCGAUGCAACGCGAAGAACCUUACCUGGUCUUGACAUCCACAGAACUUAGCAGAGAUGCUUUGGUGCCUUCGGGAACUGUGAGACAGGUGCUGCAUGGCUGUCGUCAGCUCGUGUUGUGAAAUGUUGGGUUAAGUCCCGCAACGAGCGCAACCCUUAUCCUUUGUUGCCAGCGGUCCGGCCGGGAACUCAAAGGAGACUGCCAGUGAUAAACUGGAGGAAGGUGGGGAUGACGUCAAGUCAUCAUGGCCCUUACGACCAGGGCUACACACGUGCUACAAUGGCAUAUACAAAGAGAAGCGACCUCGCGAGAGCAAGCGGACCUCAUAAAGUAUGUCGUAGUCCGGAUUGGAGUCUGCAACUCGACUCCAUGAAGUCGGAAUCGCUAGUAAUCGUAGAUCAGAAUGCUACGGUGAAUACGUUCCCGGGCCUUGUACACACCGCCCGUCACACCAUGGGAGUGGGUUGCAAAAGAAGUAGGUAGCUUAACCUUCGGGAGGGCGCUUACCACUUUGUGAUUCAUGACUGGGGUGAAGUCGUAACAAGGUAACCGUAGGGGAACCUGCGGUUGGAUCACCUCCUU
rnacentral:rRNA from 1 species